rnacentral:rRNA from 1 species
UAAGGAAUAUUGGACAAUGGACGCAAGUCUGAUCCAGCCAUGCCGCGUGAAGGAUGAAUGCCCUCUGGGUUGUAAACUUCUUUUAUAGGGGAAGAAAGAUACUUUUUUUAAGGUAGUUGACGGUACCCUAUGAAUAAGCACCGGCUAACUCCGUGCCAGCAGCCGCGGUAAUACGGAGGGUGCAAGCGUUAUCCGGAUUUACUGGGUUUAAAGGGUGCGUAGGCGGGCAUGUAAGUCAGUGGUGAAAUACCGGAGCUUAACUUCGGAACUGCCAUUGAUACUAUAUGUCUUGAAUAUUGUGGAGGUAAGCGGAAUAUGUCAUGUAGCGGUGAAAUGCAUAGAUAUGACAUAGAACACCGAUUGCGGAGGCAGCUUGCUACGCAAAUAUUGACGCUGAGGCACGAAAGCGUGGGGAUCAAACA